UACGGAGGGGGCUAGCGUUGUUCGGAAUCACUGGGCGUAAAGGGUGCGUAGGCGGGUCUUUAAGUCAGGGGUGAAAUCCUGGAGCUCAACUCCAGAACUGCCUUUGAUACUGAAGAUCUUGAGUUCGGGAGAGGUGAGUGGAACUGCGAGUGUAGAGGUGAAAUUCGUAGAUAUUCACAAGAACACCAGUGGCGAAGGCGGCUCACUGGCCCGAUACUGACGCUGAGGCACGAAAGCGUGGGGAGCAAACAGG
rnacentral:rRNA from 1 species